rnacentral:rRNA from 1 species
GAUGAACGCUGGCGGCGUGCCUAAUACAUGCAAGUCGAGCGAACAGACGAGGAGCUUACUCCUCUGACGUUAGCGGCGGACGGGUGAGUAACACGUGGAUAACCUACCUAUAAGACUGGGAUAACUUCGGGAAACCGGAGCUAAUACCGGAUAACAUGUUGAACCGCAUGGUUCAACAGUGAAAGACGGUCUUGCUGUCACUUAUAGAUGGAUCCGCGUCGCAUUAGCUAGUUGGUAAGGUAACGGCUUACCAAGGCAACGAUGCGUAGCCGACCUGAGAGGGUGAUCGGCCAAACUGGAACUGAGACACGGUCCAGACUCCUACGGGAGGCAGCAGUAGGGAAUCUUCCGCAAUGGGCGAAAGCCUGACGGAGCAACGCCGCGUGAGUGAAGAAGGUCUUCGGAUCGUAAAACUCUGUUAUUAGGGAAGAACAAAUGUGUAAGUAACUAUGCACGUCUUGACGGUACCUAAUCAGAAAGCCACGGCUAACUACGUG